rnacentral:tRNA from 1 species
AUUCAUAUAGUUUAUUAAAAACAUUUUAUUUUCAUUAAAAAAAAGAAAUAUAAUUACAUUCUAUGGAUA